UUUACUGGUCUGGCUUGAUAGAAGAUCAAUCUUGUGAAGCUCUUAAAGUGGAUUUUGCUAACAAGUAUCUUGGAGGUGGUGCUCUUCACAGGGGUUGUGUACAGGAGUUCAAGUUGAAGGAGAUGAUGGAAGUUGUGUGGUUUGUAUGGGUUUGAAGAAACAAUGGAAUUGCUUUUUUAUAUUGUAAUGGAUAUUUUUAUUUUUAUUUUUAAUUUCAAUUUUUGGGUAACCUAUCCCUUGCGGGUUGUGCUUGGGAUUAAUUAUUCUCUUUACUACUUGUUGAAUUUUCUUGUGUGCUGCUGGACACAUGUUUUGGUUGUGUUA